rnacentral:lncRNA from 1 species
UCCUUUUGUAUACAUUUUGUAUACCAUUUGUACACCCUUGUGUAUCCUUUCUACUUAUUUUGUAGAAAGAUGUACAAUGGGUGUACACCCUUUAUACACCCAUGAUACACACUUUAUGCACCAUUUGUACACACUUAGUACACCCUUUGUACGCAUUUAGUACAACCUUACACCUUUUAUAUACCAUAUUUACAUCCUUUUAUACCCGUUUUACACGCAUUAUGCACUCUUUGUAUACCCUUUGUACACCCUUCUGCAACCUUUCUACACCUAUUGUAAAACAAUAUAGAAUGGGUGUAUAUUCUUUGUACUCCCCUUAUACAUUCUUUGUACACCGUUUAUACAUCUAUUGUAAAACGAUAUAGAGUGGGUGUAGACCUUUUGUACACCUUUUAUACACUUUUUCAUACACCCUUUGUAUACAUUUUGUCCACCCUUUCAACACCCUUUCUAUGCUCAAUCAACAUCCUUUGUAAACCCUUUCUACAUCUUUGUACACCCUUUCUACAUCUUUGUAUAUCGUUUGUACACCAUUCUAUAACCUUUCUACAUAUUUUGUUGAAAGAUGUAAAAUGGGUGUACACUCUUUUUACACCAUUUCUACACCCUUUAUAGACCUUUUAAAUACCAUUUGGACACCCUUCUACAACCUUUUUACAUAUUUUGUAAAACGAUAUAGAAUAGGUGUACUCCUUUUGAACACCCUUUAUACACCAUUUGGAUACCCUUUGUGCACUUUUUGUACACCCUUUGUACACCCUUUCUACAUCUUUGUUCACCCUUUCUAAACACUUUUUACUGCUUUCCACAUCUUUCUACGUCUUUGUAAACAUUUUGUUCCCCUUUUAUAUACCCUUUGUACACCCUUUAUACAUCUUUUGUUCAAUCUUUGUACACCCUUUUUACAACCUUUGUACACUCUUUAUACAUUUUUCUACAUCUUUGUACACCAUUUCCAAACAACUUCUACACAUUUCUACAUCUUUGUACCUCCUUUAUAUACCCUUUGAAAACCCUUUAUACAUCUUUUGUACACUAUUUUUAUAAUCUUUUUACAACCUUUAUGCACCUUUUGUAUACCUUUUCUACAUCUUUGUACACCCUUUCUAAACUCUUUCUACACUUUUCUACAUCUUUCGACAUCUUUGUAUACCCUUUGUACACCCUUCUACAACACUUCUACCUAUUUUAUAGAAAGAUGUAAAAUGAGUGUACAACCUUUCUACACCCUUUGUACACCUUUCUGAAGUCUUUCUACAUAUUUUGUAAAAAAGUUUUAGAAUGAGUGUAUACCCUAUGGACACCCUUUAUACGUCCUUUGUACACCCAUUGUACACUCUUUAUACACUCUUUGUACACACUUAGUAUACCAUUUUCACACCAUUUUUACACUCUUUGUACACCCGUUGUACACUAUUUCUACAUUUUUUCUACACCCUUUCCAAACUCUUUAUGCACCCUUUGUAUACCCUUCUGCAGCCUUUCAACAUCUAUUGUAAAACGAUAUAGAAUGAGUGUACAUCCUUUGUAUACCCUUUAUAGACUCUUUGUACACCAUUUGUAUACCCUUUGUAAACUUUUUAUACAACCUUUCUACAUCUUUGUACACCAUUUGUAUACCUUUACUACACCAUUUCUAUACCAUUUUUACACCCUUUGUACACCCUUUGUACAUCCUUUCUACAUCUUAGUAUACUUUUAAACCUUUCUACAUAUUUUUUUGAAAGAUGUAUAAUGGUAGUAAAGCCUUUCUACGCCCUUUCUACACUCUUUGUAUACCUUUGUACACCCUUCUACAGCCUUUUUACAUAUUUUGUAAAACGAUGUAGAAUGGGUGUACACCCUUUAUACUCCCUUUAUACACCUUUUGUACAACCUUUGUACACCCUUUAUAAAUCCUUCGUACACCCUUUGUACACCAUUUAUACAAUCUUUGGACAUCCUUUUUACACCCUUUGUACACAGUUUCCACAUCUUUGUACAAUCUUUAUAAAAAUUUUCUACUCCUUUCUACAUCCUUUAACAUCUUUGUAUACCCUUUGUACACCCUUCUAAAAUAUUACUACAUGUUUUGUAGAAAGAUGAAAAAUAGGUGCACAUCCUUUGUAUACCCUUCGUAUACCCUCUGUACACCCUUCUACAACAUUACUACAUAUUUUGUAGAAAGAUGAAGAAUGGGUCCAC